GGUUGCGAUAUACCAGCACUAAUGCACCGGAUCCCAUCAGAACUCCGCAGUUAAGCGUGCUUGGGCGAGAGUAGUACUAGGAUGGGUGACCCCCUGGGAAGUCCUCGUGUUGCAACCCC
rnacentral:rRNA from 1 species